rnacentral:lncRNA from 1 species
GUCGGGACACGCGGAGCUGUUGUCGGGACACUGCACCCGGAGCAGCGCCACUGCUGGGACGCGGAGCCGGGGCUGUGCCGCAGCACCGCGCGGUCUCUUCCAGGCCGGGAAUUUGGUGGCCAUGGGGACGUCCCCCGUAGGGGACACACAGCGCCCGCGCUCCAAAUCACAGCUGGUGGAGUGGGGACAGCAGUGCUCCUCAUCCCGGCAGCACACGGCCUCCGGCAUGGGGCAGCACCCCCAGGCUCCGCUCGCGGUGCCGCAGCAUGUGGUGUUUUGGGGGCACUCGGAGGCGCCGUCGGGGCACCGCAGCGCCGUCACCGCAGCGCCCCCAAUGAGGGCCAACCACAGCGUCAGCGCCGUCCUCAUGGCCGG